GAAAGUAAAAAAGGGCGCAUGGCGGAUGCCUUGGCUCUCGGAGGCGAUGAAGGACGUGAUAAGCUGCGAUAAGCUUUGGGGAGGUGCAAAUGACCUUUGAUCCAGAGAUUUCCGAAUGGGACAACCCAAUAUCUUGAAGAGGUAUUAUCUUACUAUGUAAGAGGCUAACGCAGGGAACUGAAACAUCUUAGUACCUGCAGGAAAAGAAAAUAAACAAUGAUUCCCCCAGUAGUGGCGAGCGAACGGGGAACAGCCCAAACCAUCCAUGUUACGGCAUGGGUGGGGUUGUAGGACUACGCCGUUGCAUGAAGACAUCAGAGAAGAACUUUCUGGAAAGAAAGACCAUAGAGCAUGACAGUUGCGUAUUCGAAUGUUGUCGAAGCAUAGUAGUAUCCUGAGUAGCGCGGAGCACGAGGAAUUCUGCGUGAAUCUGCCGGGACCAUCCGGUAAGGCUAAAUACUCCCGAGAGACCGAUAGCGAACCAGUACCGUGAGGGAAAGGUGAAAAGCACUUCGAACAGAAGAGUGAAAUAGUUCCUGAAACCGUGCGCCUACAAGCGGUCGGAGCUCGUUAAUGAGUGACGGCGUGCCUUUUGCAUAAUGAACCUACGAGUUGCCUUUGCCGGCAAGGUUAAGUGUGACGACACACGUAUCCGAAGCGAAAGCGAGUCUGAACAGGGCGUAUAGUCGGCAGUGGCAGACGCGAAACCAAGUGAUCUACCCUUGGCCAGGUUGAAGGCUGGGUAACACCAGCUGGAGGACCGCACCAAUAAGCGUUGAAAAGCUUCUGGAUGAGCUGAGGGUAGGGGUGAAAGGCUAAUCAAACUUGGAGAUAGCUCGUACUCCCCGAAAUGCAUUUAGGUGCAGCCUUGCGGGUUACUGAUGUGAGGUAGAGCGACUGAUAAGAUGCGAGGGCUUCACCGCCUAUCAAGUCUUGACAAACUCCGAAUGCGCAUCAGUUCUACCGCAGGAGUGAGGGCAUGGGUGCUAAGGUCCGUGCCCGAGAGGAGAAGAAUCCGGACCACCUGCUAAGGUCCCGAAAUGACAGCUAAGUUAAACUAACGAAGUCUGACUGCUAAGACAGCUAGGAUGUUGGCUUGGAAGCAGCCAUUCAUUUAAAGAGUGCGUAACAGCUCACUAGUCGAGGAGUCGGGCGUGGAUAAUAAUCGGGUAUCAAGUUGUCUACCGAAGCAGUGGGAUCAUUAAUAUGAUCGGUAGGGGAGCAUUCCAGUCAGCGUCGAAGGCGUACCGUGAGGUAUUCUGGAGCGUCUGGAAAAGCAAAUGUAGGUAUAAGUAACGAUAAAGGGGGCGGGAAACCCCCUCGCCGAAAGACUAAGGUUUCCUGAUCAACGCUAAUCGGAUCAGGGUCAGUCGGGUCCUAAGGCUCAGCCGAACGGCGAUGCCGAUGGCAGAAACGGUUAAUAUUCCGUUACUACCUUCAGGAGUGACGUGGAGACGCAGUAGUGACAGUGCCGCCAUCUGACGGAAUAGAUGGUUGAAGGGUGUAGGAGUCGAUCAUGGCAGGCAAAUCCACCAUGAGAUCCGAACCUGAGAGUAUGCCGCGUCCUUCGGGACAAGGCAAUAGUGCGCGUAAGCAUGCUGCCGAGAAAAUCCGCUAAACUUAAUCCUGCAGGUACCCGUACCGCAAACGGACACACGUAGUCGGGAUGAAUAUUCUAAGGCGCUUGAGUGAUUCACGGUUAAGGAACUAGGCAAACUGACCCUGUAACUUCGGGAUAAAGGGUCCCUACCCUUUUAUGGGAGGGCGCAGAGAAUCGGUCCAGGCAACUGUUUAACAAAAACACAGGGCUGUGCCAAAUCGAAAGAUCCAGUAUACAGCCUGACACCUGCCCGGUGCUGGAAGGUUAAGAGGAGAUGUCAUCGAUAAGAGAAGCGUUGAAUUGAAGCCCCAGUAAACGGCGGCCGUAACUAUAACGGUCCUAAGGUAGCGAAAUUCCUUGUCGGGU
rnacentral:rRNA from 1 species